rnacentral:misc_RNA from 1 species
UCUCCGUUGGUGAACCAGCGGAGGGAUCAUUACCGAGUUUACAACUCCCAAACCCAUGUGAACAUACCUACUGUUGCUUCGGCGGGAUUGCCCCGGGCGCCUCGUGUGCCCCGGAUCAGGCGCCCGCCGGAGGUAAACCAAACUAUUGCAUUAAUGGCCUCUCUGAGUCUUCUGUACUGAAUAAGUCAAAACUUUCAACAACGGAUCUCUUGGUUCUG